rnacentral:rRNA from 1 species
GGAUGCCGAUCUCGAAAACCUGUCCCAGUUCGGACUGGAGUCUGCAACCCGACUCCACGAAGUUGGAUUCGCUAGUAAUCGCGCAUCAGCCAUGGCGCGGUGAAUACGUUCCCGGGCCUUGUACACACCGCCCGUCAAGCCAUGGGAGCCGGGGGGCGCCUGAAGUCCGGGACCGCGAGGACCGGCCUAAGGCGAAACUGGUGACUGGGGCUAAGUCGUAACAAGGUAAC